rnacentral:hammerhead_ribozyme from 1 species
GUCCAGCUGACGAGUCCCGAAUAGAACGAAACACAUAUCCUGGAU